AAACUGAUGACUAAACUAUGAUUAAAACUACUCACAAUCUUAUGGACGCACUAAAAACUAUGGAAAAGGAUGGGAAGGGAAUAGGAUGAUGGUGAGGGGAAAAGAGACGUCUCCCCCGAUUGGCUUUAUUACUGACUGAGGGGUGUGCAAGUGUGCCUCUGUGUAUCCUGUCUUUUUUUUAAAUUAUUAUUCUUGGAUUUUGUAGGGUGUGGAUAUUAUUUGCUCCAACUUGAGAAUCUUCUGGCCAAGACUGACACAGCUCUGGCAGCUAGAGGCGAGUGGAGCUCCCAAGGCCAGGACCAGUUCUUCAAAUGAUUGUUACAAACUUGAGGAACCAGCCUCUGUGCAGUUCAGACACUGAGGUCUUGAGUCACUCCAUGUUGGGCCUUUACCACGACCUGGUCACCGGUUCAAAGGACUUCCCUAUGAUUCAGGCCAAAGCGUUCCAUCGUGUUAGGUUGAUUACCACACCCUUUGGCAAGCUGGACGUGAGAGAGAACACCAGACCAAUGGAUGGACCAGAUGGCGUGAUGGUGCCUCCUGCAGGCUCCGGCUCUCCCCCUCCAAACAUGCAGACUCCAGUUCUUCCUGAGAGGACGGACCUUGCGACCCUGAUGGCCGACCGUGAUAACUACAUCACUGUCAUGAAGUUUGAUGAGCGAACUAUCAGCAGAGUCAUCUCCACUGUGUACGGCGCUGAUGGCACUGAGCUGGCGAACCGCUGGAGAGUAACCACCUACAGCCAGGAUGGACACCUUCUCAUGUCAGUCCUCUGUGGGUUUGUCAGAAAGUCAGCAAGGUAUGCGAAUACUCCACAGACACGGAAGAGGAGGAGGGAUUCAGAGGAAGAGAGCCAGUCUCCACCAAAGAAACACUUGAGACUGUGAGGAUCAUCAGAAGUGUUGAAGCUCUGAUCUAUCCAAUGUUGAUUCAGCAUAUGGCAGGUCAACCAUCUAGAUUAUUGUGAAGACUGGGGGCUGGUCUUUGGGUCUUGCAGGACCAGCGCCAAUCCAGUGGUCUUCUACUUUGGCACAUGUACCCACAAGAAGAACAUGUCUGACUGUGGUUACAUAUUGUACUAUAUAUAUAGGUCAUUCCAUCAUGGUGGAUGUACACAGGUCAGUGUUUUUGGUGCGUCUUGCACAUUUCUUUCUUUCUUGGAGCUGGCCUGUGAGUCCAACAUGGUGGCAACUUUGAGGGAGGUUUUGGGGACUGUGACUCUUCAAGAAAUUGGACUCAUCACCAAAUUCGGACUAAAGGUGAGGACGGAAAUAAAAGGAUUUAUUAUGCAGCAACUAUUUAAAAAAAAAUUAACAAUACAAAACAGCCAAAAGGACUCUAGAUCCACAAAAGAAAAUACAACAGGAUGAAACAAAGAGUCCUAAAGAAGAAGUAGGAAAACACAGGAACAAGAGCUUUUGGUGUGUCCUUUGAGGAUUCAGCAUCUGGCAGGUUAACCAGGUGGAAUAUCGUGACCCCUGAGGGCUGGUCUUUGCGUCUGGCAGGACCAGCACCCAUCCAGUGGUCUUCUACCUGGGCCCAUGUACACCUGCUGAGGGUGACAUAAUUUCAAUAGUUUAUUCCAUCAUGGUGGUGGUACACAGGUCAGUGUUUUUGGUGCGUCUUGCACCUUUCUUUAUUUCUUGGAGCUGGCCUGUGUGUCCAACAUGGUGGCAACUUCAAGGGAACUUUGGGAAUUGUGACUUUUUGUGAAUUAAUCUGGACUCAUCAGAAGCAGCAUUAGCCUCAAAUUUCACUUCAAGAAAGGAAUGAAAGGAUAUAUUACAAAACAACACAGAGACAACUACAAUACUCAUCCAACAAAGAGAAGAAGAGGAUGAGGACGAUGAGGCUGCUAGAAGAAUACAGAAACAACAAGAAAGAAGCUGGUGAUGAUGAUGUUAACCUGUCCUACACUCCUCUUCCAGCAAACUAGAGCAGCCAGUCAAAAAAUAAGAGGAGUCCAAUCAACAAGAAAAGAAACAGCAGACUUUGUGAUUCCAUUCAUUUAAAAAAAGAGAGGACGCUAAAAGACAUGAGGACACAUUGGUUCAAAGACAAGACGAGACCAGAGGCUUUAAACCAGGACAUCAUACUCAGUGACUCUAUUUAAAUACAAAUUAAAGACGAGCAGCCUUAGACGUCCCCCUGAUCUGCUGCACCAGCAUUCAUUGUAAACCAUAUUAAAAAAAAAAGAUGAGUAUAUACUUUUACAUCUGAUUUUGUCUUAAAACAUACUUGUAUUUAGAGGUAAAAAUAUCAAAAGUGAUAUGCACUGCACCUUUUUUCUGAAUUAUUGUUGUUCACACGCAUCUGUCUCAUAUGUCUUAGAAAAGCAAGGAAGCUCAGGAAGCUGAGUCCGUUCACAGACCAUUGACUAAGUUGUUAACUGAUGUUCUGCCUUUUCCGUUUGUAUUCAUUUUCAGCAAAGACAAGCAGUCUUAGAUGUCCCCCUGAACGGCUGCACAAGCAUUCAAUGUAAACCCACAUUUAAAAAAAGAACGUGGAAGAGAAGUCCAGUGACAGAAGGAAAGGAGACAGCAUGCAGUUCCCCCCACCCCCCAAUCUGCACCAGAUCAUGCAUUAUACUUCUGCUUUGGCAGUCAUGAAAUAAAUGGUUACACACUGUUCAUUUAAA